GAUGAACGCUAGCGGCAGGCUUAACACAUGCGAGUCGAGGGGUAUAGAAAGCUUGCUUUCUAGAGACCGGCAAACGGGUGCGGAACACGUACACAACCUACCUUUAUCAGGGGGAUAGCCUUCGGAAACGGAGAUUAAUACCCCAUAGUAUUAUGGAGUGGCAUCAUUUUAUAAUUAAAGAAUUUCGGAUAGAGAUGGGUGUGCGUAAGAUUAGCUAGUUGGUGAGGUAAAGGCUAACCAAGGCAACGAUCUUUAGCUGAUGUGAGAGCAUGAUCAGCACAAGGGGCACGGAGAACCGGGCCCGACUCCUACCGGAGGCAGCAGUGAGGAAUAUUGGUCAAUGGACGGAAGUCUGAACCAGCCAUGCCACGUGAAGGAUGAAGGCGUUCUGCGUUGUAAACUUCUUUUAUUUAGGAAGCAACCACUUUUUUUUAAGAGUGUUGACGGUAUUAAAUGAAUAAGCACCGGCUAACUCCGUGCCAGCAGCCGCGGUAAAAC
rnacentral:rRNA from 1 species